rnacentral:rRNA from 1 species
AUAAUGGGUCAGCGACUUAUAUUCUGUAGCAAGGUUAACCGAAUAGGGGAGCCGAAGGGAAACCGAGUCUUAACUGGGCGUUAAGUUGCAGGGUAUAGACCCGAAACCCGGUGAUCUAGCCAUGGGCAGGUUGAAGGUUGGGUAACACUAACUGGAGGACCGAACCGACUAAUGUUGAAAAAUUAGCGGAUGACUUGUGGCUGGGGGUGAAAGGCCAAUCAAACCGGGAGAUAGCUGGUUCUCCCCGAAAGCUAUUUAGGUAGCGCCUCGUGAAUUCAUCUCCGGGGGUAGAGCACUGUUUCGGCAAGGGGGUCAUCCCGACUUACCAACCCGAUGCAAACUGCGAAUACCGGAGAAUGUUAUCACGGGAGACACACGGCGGGUGCUAACGUCCGUCGUGAAGAGGGAAACAACCCAGACCGCCAGCUAAGGUCCCAAAGUCAUGGUUAAGUGGGAAACGAUGUGGGAAGGCCCAGACAGCCAGGAUGUUGGCUUAGAAGCAGCCAUCAUUUAAAGAAAGCGUAAUAGCUCACUGGUCGAGUCGGCCUGCGCGGAAGAUGUAACGGGGCUAAACCAUGCACCGAAGCUGCGGCAGCGACACUGUGUGUUGUUGGGUAGGGGAGCGUUCUGUAAGCCUGCGAAGGUGUGCUGUGAGGCAUGCUGGAGGUAUCAGAAGUGCGAAUGCUGACAUAAGU